rnacentral:tRNA from 1 species
UGGGGUGUAGCUCAGUGAUAGAGCACUUGCCUAGCAUGUGCAAGGCUUUGGGUUUGAUCCCCAACACAACUA